rnacentral:rRNA from 1 species
AUCAUGGCUCAGGAUGAACGCUAGCGACAGGCCUAACACAUGCAAGUCAGGGGCAGCGGGAGGUAGCAAUACCUUUGCCGGCGACCGGCGCACGGGUGAGUAACACGUAUGCAAUCCACCUGUAACAGGGGGAUAACCCGGAGAAAUCCGGACUAAUACCCCAUGAUAUGGGCUCUCCGCAUGGGGGGGGUCCAUUAAAGAGAGCAAUCUUGGUUACAGACGAGCAUGCGCUCCAUUAGCCAGCUGGCGGGGUAACGGCCCACCAAGGCGACGAUGGAUAGGGGUUCUGAGAGGAAGGUCCCCCACAUUGGAACUGAGACACGGUCCAAACUCCUACGGGAGGCAGCAGUGAGGAAUAUUGGUCAAUGGUCGGCAGACUGAACCAGCCAAGUCGCGUGAGGGAAGACGGCCCUACGGGUUGUAAACCUCUUUUGUCGGAGAGUAAAGUGCGCUACGCGUAGCGUAUUGCAAGUAUCCGAAGAAAAAGCAUCGGCUAACUCCGUG